GAUGAACGCUAGCGGCAGGCCUAACACAUGCAAGUCGAGGGGUAGAAUUAGCUUGCUAAUUUGAGACCGGCGCACGGGUGCGUAACGCGUAUGCAAUCUACCUUGUACAGGGGGAUAGCCCAGAGAAAUUUGGAUUAAUACCCCAUGGUAUAAUUAAUUUGCAUGAAUUGAUUAUUAAAGUUCCAACGGUACAAGAUGAGCAUGCGUCCCAUUAGCUAGUUGGUGUGGUAACGGCAUACCAAGGCGACGAUGGGUAGGGGUCCUGAGAGGGAGAUCCCCCACACUGGUACUGAGACACGGACCAGACUCCUACGGGAGGCAGCAGUGAGGAAUAUUGGUCAAUGGUCGGAAGACUGAACCAGCCAUGCCGCGUGCAGGAAGAAGCAUCUAUGGUGUGUAAACUGCUUUUGUACGGGAAGAAACACUCCUACGUGUAGGAGCUUGACGGUACCGUAAGAAUAAGGAUCGGCUAACUCCGUGCCAGCAGCCGCGGUAAU
rnacentral:rRNA from 1 species